rfam:Lyngbya majuscula 3L genomic scaffold scf45996, whole genome shotgun sequence.
UGGUAGAUGCACCCUAAUAAUUACCCCUGAAGCUCACGGUUCGGGGGAUUUUUUU